GACGAACGCUGGCGGCGCGCUUAACACAUGCAAGUCGAGCGAGAACCGGGGCUUCGGCCCCGGGGACAGCGGCGGACGGGUGAGUAACACGUGGGUAACCUGCCCUCGGCACCGGGAUAGCCCGGGGGAACCCGGAUUAAUACCGGACAGCCUCCGGAGCCUUCGGGCGCCGGAGAAAAGGUGGCUUCGGCUUCCGGCCGAGGAGGGGCCUGCGGCGGAUUAGCUUGUUGGCGGGGUAACGGCCCACCAAGGCGACGAUCCGUAGCUGGUCUGAGAGGACGAUCAGCCACACUGGGACUGAGACACGGCCCAGACUCCUACGGGAGGCAGCAGUGGGGAAUCUUGCACAAUGGGCGCAAGCCUGAUGCAGCGACGCCGUGUGCGGGAAGAAGGCCUUCGGGUUGUAAACCGCUUUCAGGAGGGACGAAGCUCCUCGGGUUAAUAGCCCAGAGGGUGACGGUACCUCCAGAAGAAGCCCCGGCUAACUACGUGCCAGCCGCCGCAGUAACAC
rnacentral:rRNA from 1 species